GGUCACUUGGCAUUUUAGUGACUACCCUCACCUGCAGAUUUGGGAGAUGGCACUUGGCAUUUGGUCUAGAAACUGAUUUCUCUGGACCCCAAGAGCUGGCACAAAGUUUUAUAAAUGAGCAAAAGUCAAAGAGAAGAUUUCAUUAGGAACUUAAAUGUGGAGGUUCCAGUCAGGGUUGCAGCAAACAGGGCCUGAAAGCGCACCAACGUCAGAGUGAUGAAGAUACAAAAAGAAAGCCUAAGAGGGAUAGGAACAUUCUGGAGCUGGUGAGGGCUAUCAGACACCAUCGCAGAAUGUUAGCCAGUGACUGGAUCUCCUUCCCUGGGGAGCCGUUAAAACACAGGUGCGUUUUGAAGACAGGAGCUGGAGAUGAUCUGUCCAUCCCACUGUUGACUUCUGGCUCUAGAGUCACCAAGAGUCUUUAGAGAGGGCCAGUGUCUUUGUUUGGUGCCUCUCCUUUGCCACAGCAACUGCUUGUCUCAGAGGUACUAGGGCAUGGGGGCCUCUGAACAGCUUGUGACAGCACCUCGGCUCAGAGAGAAAGGGCUUCUUGUGGGGCAUGAUGUGGAUGAGGAUGGCAGGAUAAAUCAAAGGUGCCCCAAAGGACACCCCCUUUCCUGAAAUCAGGCUUGGUUUUAUAAACCUGUGAGGAUUCCAUUCUGUUCCAAGAGGGAAGCCAGGCGGGGCUGGCAGAAGCCCCCAGGGCGCCCAGAGCUGCAGCAGCCUCCAGCCUUGGGUUUCCAGAGUAGAGAGCAGGUAACAUCCAG
rnacentral:lncRNA from 1 species